rnacentral:tRNA from 1 species
GCCUGGGUAGCUCAGUCGGUUAAGCAUCUGACUUCAGCUCAGACUUCAGCUCAGGUCAUGAUUUCAUGGUUCGUGGGCCCGAGCCCCGCUUUGGGCU